UCAUGAACUCACCAGUGCAGUUAUUUCCUCUUUGGAUAAUUGUCAUGAUUGCAGAGGACCUGUCUCAAGCCUCAAAUGGAUUGGUUUUACGUGUAAAUUAUGUUCAACCUCAUGGCACAAAACCUGCUUCAUCAAGAACGAGUCACCGAUGAAGGACAUCUGCCUUUCCAGUAAUGAAGGUUCCGUCAGUGAUAAAGACUACAUUCCUGAAACGGCGUCUAGCAGCGAUGGAUCCAGCGUCGAUGAAGACUGCCCACCUGACUCUGAAGCAAAUACUGAUUGGGAUCAUCUCAUUGCCACCAUCAGGGAUUCAAAGCCACCCCAUUGUAAGAUUGCACCAACCACAGCAUUUCAGA